rnacentral:rRNA from 1 species
UACGUAGGAGGCAAGCGUUGUCCGGAAUUACUGGGUGUAAAGCGCGUGUAGGCGGCAGGCCAAGUCUGUGGUGAAAUCGCUCGGCUCAACUGGGCGGGGUCCAUGGAAACUGGUCAGCUGGAGGACGGUAGAGGUGAGUGGAAUUCCCGGUGUAGUGGUGAAAUGCGUAGAGAUCGGGAGGAACACCCGUGGCGAAGGCGGCUCACUGGGCCGGUCCUGACGUUGAGACGCGAAGGCGUGGGGAGCGAACGGG